GGCCGCGGGAAUUCGAUUGAGUUUGAUCCUGGCUCAGGAUGAACGCUGGCGGCGUGCUUAACACAUGCAAGUCGAGCGAAGCACUUUUUUAGAACUCUUCGGAGGGAAAAGAGGGUGACUUAGCGGCGGACGGGUGAGUAACGCGUGGGCAACCUGCCUUACACAGGGGGAUAACAAUUAGAAAUGAUUGCUAAUACCGCAUAAGACCCCGGUACCGCAUGGUACAGAGGUAAAAACUGAGGUGGUGUAAGAUGGGCCCGCGUCUGAUUAGGUAGUUGGUGGGGUAGAAGCCUACCAAGCCGACGAUCAGUAGCCGACCUGAGAGGGCGACCGGCCACAUUGGGACUGAGACACGGCCCAAACUCCUACGGGAGGCAGCAGUGGGGAAUAUUGCACAAUGGGGGAAACCCUGAUGCAGCGACGCCGCGUGAGUGAGGAAGUAUUUCGGUAUGUAAAGCUCUAUCAGCAGGGAAGAAAAUGACGGUACCUGACUAAGAAGCCCCGGCUAACUACGUGCCAGCAGCCGCGGUAAUACGUAGGGGGCAAGCGUUAUCCGGAUUUACUGGGUGUAAAGGGAGCGUAGACGGAUAAGCAAGUCUGAUGUGAAAAUCCGGGGCCCAACCCCGGAAUUGCAUUGGAAACUGCAUAUCUAGAGUGUCGGAGAGGCAAGUGGAAUUCCUGGUGUAGCGGUGAAAUGCGUAGAUAUCAGGAAGAACACCAGUGGCGA
rnacentral:rRNA from 1 species